AUAGGUGCCAAGUGUUUGCAUAAAUACGAUAACAGGGAACCCUUCCGGCGCACUUCCGCCGAUGGGAAAACCGCCAAAUUCCACAAAACAUAAAAUUUAUAAAAAUACGGGAACCAAGUGGUUUGAAAACAAAACGAGAUAAGCAGUGACCAGGAAGGGUACAUGGUUUAUCGUAAGUAAACAGCUGAUAAGUAAACAGCAACCUUAAUGAGCCAUUUAUACGAAUAUGUAAGUUGGGGAUACGGCAGAGUUUUUCGUUUCUGAAUAUAAGUUGGGGGCGAUGACAAUAAGCACGCUUUUUAUGACGUCAUGCCAAUACAUAAGCUCGAAUUUUGUGUUCAAUAUUUUUGCAGACACUGGUUUAGGAUGCGGACAAUCUCGUUCCACUUGAAACGGAGGCCAAGCGCAAUGUGAGCCUCUCGUGACGCUCCGCUGCCUUUCAAUUAACGCGUGAACAGCUUCCAUAGUACAG